AUUCUGAGCCGUCACGAAACCCAGCCGCCGCCACGGACGUCUAUCCCCAUUACCCAAGCUGCGGAAGGCUACUGUUGCUCCCGCUGGCCGGCGAUGGAAGAUGCCGGGUUGAGUUCUUGCUGGACGCCGUCGACCGGUUUCCCCUCCGGGAAUAGUUCGCGGACAACUUGUAGCAUCCAGAUCAGGUUCCUUUGGUGGUACUCCCACGACGUAAUCACACCAGUGCUGAGCCUGGUCACUCCAAUGCUGGCUACGGAUGCGGACAGCAUGUUGGCGGCGCUAGCAGGGCAGGCCGCAGGGCGACGGUAGACGGCGGCGGCAGGCUUCGACGACACCCAUGACAGGUAAGAUCUGAGGGGGAACCGAAGGUGCUGUGGCGUGCUGCUUUGAAGUUAGCCGGGCCAGUACUUUGACUGGCUAACUGGAUCGGAGACGAAGUAGCAGGCACUGCUGCUCUUCCUCAUCCUCCUCCUUCCACCUGUUCGACGCAUACCCUCUGUCUCGGACCCGUGUGCAAGAACAGAGCAGGAGCUGCUCCGUCCAUGGAAGGCCUCGAGUUCUUCUUCGAAAAGGCUGAUUCAAGGCAAUAAUGCUUGUACUGUCCGGUUAAAUAUGUGAUUGGCGAGGCAUUGAACACCCUCCCCGUGGAGUCAUUAGGUUUUUAUUUACCUUUUUGCUAGAUCCAGGGUAGCUGAUGGUUUGAAUCCUGCGUUUGUAGGUUGCUGAGGAGGGAUGAUGUUGGUACCAAUAUUCUUAUACUUAUUUACUAUCCCUAAAUUAACUGACUAAUACAACAUCGGACUAAAAUUUUGAUUGAUACACUAACACUGCAUAUCCGGAUCAGGCCCGACAAAAAGCAUAGUAAGAACAAUUAAAGCCAAUUAAAAUCAAAUUCUUCAUCAGAAAAACAACUAAAAUUUAAACUGUCACAACAAAACAUUUUUCCUGGGCACUUGAUUUAUAGUCUUUCAUUAUGCAGGUUAGGGGUUGCGAAAAAUCAUGAUGAAAGAGACAGGGGCCCAAACAGAGUUUCACCACUAGAGUCCUCUCUGCGGGCGUAUGCUGGCAUCGGGGGCUGUCGUUAGUCCAAUCCUGCCAUUGGAACAAGUUCUGUUUCCCUAGAGGAGGCUUAUGAUUUCUACAAACCUUACUCAUGGGAAAGUGGAUUUGGUGUUCUAUACGCCAAGAGCAGACUUAAUGUUCAUAGGGAGGAGUGCAUGCAGGAAAUCAUAAAUAAUUCAGAAUUCAGAAUGCUGACGCUCAUGCAGGUGCUUGUAUGAUGUUCAGGGCAAUCCGUUAAAAGAUAACAGUCGAUCAUCAUGUUGUGGCUGCACGGCGAUGAUAAGGCUCCUCCAGUCAGAUGACAAUGGGUGUUAUAUGGCCGAGCACACAACAGAUCACAAUCACUGACUGACAAUUAUUUGAAUGGGCUUGGAAGCAAACUUGCGUGGAGCCUGGCUCUACUUAACUUGUUGUACACGAGACGGCAUAGGUGGUCGACCAUAAAAUUGCUCCCGGUGUACCUUGGGCUCCUAGUUUUUGUGUGCCAAAAAAAGUAAGCAAGCAAGUGACUCCUUAGGGUGAUGCGCGGUCACGGAUAAGUCACCAUGCAAUGGCUGGUGCGCUGGUGGAGAUAGAUGAUGAUGAAGUUAGCAGCAACCCGUGUAAGAAGCCAAGGAUCCGCUAAAUGAUGCCUCCGAUGGCUGUUUUGUACUGUGCUUAGCUGAAAAUACCAUUUGUAC